rnacentral:rRNA from 1 species
CAGUCGCCACGGUAAUACGAAGGGUGCAAGCGUUACUCGGAAUUACUGGGCGUAAAGCGUGCGUAGGUGGUGGUUUAAGUCCGUUGUGAAAGCCCUGGGCUCAACCUGGGAAUUGCAGUGGAUACUGGGUCACUAGAGUGUGGUAGAGGAUAGUGGAAUUUCCGGUGUAGCAGUGAAAUGCGUAGAGAUCGCAAGGAACAUCUGUGGCGAAGGCGACUAUCUGGGCCAACACUGACACUGAGGCACGAAAGCGUGGGGAGCAAACAGGAUUAGAUACCCCAGUAGUCCCUGUCUCUUAUAC